AAUCGUUGUCAGUAUUUAUUGGGCGUAAAGCGAGCGCAAGCGGUUUCUUAAGUCUGAUGUGAAAGCCCCCGGCUCAACCGGGGAGGGUCAUUGGAAGAUGGGAGACUUGAGUGCAGAAGAGUUAGAUUAGAAUUCUAUGUGUAUGCGUGUGAAAUGCGUAGAUAUAGGGGGGAACACCAGUGGCGAAGGCGGGUCUCAUAGUCUGUAACUGAAGAUGAGGCUUGAAAUGUGUGGGGAGCAAACAGGAUUAGAUAGCAUGGUAGUCCACGCCGUAAACGAUGAGUGACUAAGUGUUGGAGGGUUUCCGCCCUUCAGUGCUGCAGCUAACGCAUUAAGCACUCCGCCUGGGGAGUACGACCGCAAGGUUGAAACUCAAAGGAAUUGACGGGGGCCCGCACAAGCGGUGGAGCAUGUGGUUUAAUUCGAAGCAACGCGAAGAACCUUACCAGGUCUUGACAUCCUUUGACCACUCUAGAGAUAGAGCUUCCCCUUCGGGGCAAAG
rnacentral:rRNA from 1 species